UACGUAGGGUGCGAGCGUUGUCCGGAAUUAUUGGGCGUAAAGAGCUUGUAGGUGGUUUGUCGCGUCUGCUGUGAAAAUCCGAGGCUCAACCUCGGACUUGCAGUGGGUACGGGCAGACUAGAGUGUGGUAGGGGGAGACUGGAAUUCCUGGUGUAGCGGUGGAAUGCGCAGAUAUCAGGAGGAACACCGAUGGCAAAGGCAGGUCUCUGGGCCAUUAACUGACACUGGAG
rnacentral:rRNA from 1 species